AAAUUGAAGAGUUUGAUCAUGGCUCAGAUUGAACGCUGGCGGCAGGCCUAACACAUGCAAGUCGAGCGGUAGCACGGGGGAGCUUGCUCCCUGGGUGACGAGCGGCGGACGGGUGAGUAAUGUCUGGGAAACUGCCUGAUGGAGGGGGAUAACUACUGGAAACGGUAGCUAAUACCGCAUAAUGUCGCAAGACCAAAGAGGGGGACCUUCGGGCCUCUUGCCAUCAGAUGUGCCCAGAUGGGAUUAGCUAGUAGGUGGGGUAACGGCUCACCUAGGCGACGAUCCCUAGCUGGUCUGAGAGGAUGACCAGCCACACUGGAACUGAGACACGGUCCAGACUCCUACGGGAGGCAGCAGUGGGGAAUAUUGCACAAUGGGCGCAAGCCUGAUGCAGCCAUGCCGCGUGUAUGAAGAAGGCCUUCGGGUUGUAAAGUACUUUCAGCGAGGAGGAAGGCGGUGAGGUUAAUAACCUCAUCGAUUGACGUUACUCGCAGAAGAAGCACCGGCUAACUCCGUGCCAGCAGCCGCGGUAAUACGGAGGGUGCAAGCGUUAAUCGGAAUUACUGGGCGUAAAGCGCACGCAGGCGGUCUGUCAAGUCGGAUGUGAAAUCCCCGGGCUCAACCUGGGAACUGCAUUCGAAACUGGCAGGCUAGAGUCUUGUAGAGGGGGGUAGAAUUCCAGGUGUAGCGGUGAAAUGCGUAGAGAUCUGGAGGAAUACCGGUGGCGAAGGCGGCCCCCUGGACAAAGACUGACGCUCAGGUGCGAAAGCGUGGGGAGCAAACAGGAUUAGAUACCCUGGUAGUCCACGCCGUAAACGAUGUCGACUUGGAGGUUGUUCCCUUGAGGAGUGGCUUCCGGAGCUAACGCGUUAAGUCGACCGCCUGGGGAGUACGGCCGCAAGGUUAAAACUCAAAUGAAUUGACGGGGGCCCGCACAAGCGGUGGAGCAUGUGGUUUAAUUCGAUGCAACGCGAAGAACCUUACCUACUCUUGACAUCCAGAGAACUUAGCAGAGAUGCUUUGGUGCCUUCGGGAACUCUGAGACAGGUGCUGCAUGGCUGUCGUCAGCUCGUGUUGUGAAAUGUUGGGUUAAGUCCCGCAACGAGCGCAACCCUUAUCCUUUGUUGCCAGCGGUUAGGCCGGGAACUCAAAGGAGACUGCCAGUGAUAAACUGGAGGAAGGUGGGGAUGACGUCAAGUCAUCAUGGCCCUUACGAGUAGGGCUACACACGUGCUACAAUGGCGCAUACAAAGAGAAGCGACCUCGCGAGAGCAAGCGGACCUCAUAAAGUGCGUCGUAGUCCGGAUUGGAGUCUGCAACUCGACUCCAUGAAGUCGGAAUCGCUAGUAAUCGUAGAUCAGAAUGCUACGGUGAAUACGUUCCCGGGCCUUGUACACACCGCCCGUCACACCAUGGGAGUGGGUUGCAAAAGAAGUAGGUAGCUUAACCUUCGGGAGGGCGUUUACCACUUUGUGAUUCAUGACUGGGGUGAAGUCGUAACAAGGUAACCGUAGGGGAACCUGCGGUUGGAUCACCUCCUUACCUUAAAGAA
rnacentral:rRNA from 1 species